GACGAAGUGCUUUAGUAAUAUAAUUCUCGCUUUGGGUGCGAGAGGUCCCGGUUUCGAUCACCGGUUUGGGUCG